AGGAAAGGAAAUUCAACACUCUGGUGCAUUCACCCUGUGAACAAGCUUUAUUUUAUUCCAGGGGAAACAAACUGAAAUUUCAGUGUAGGCAAGAUGGCUGUUUCUGUCGCAGAAACAUUGAGAAUAUCCCUUAGCAGAAUGUAACUCUUAAUCAGGGUUGUUUAUUCACGCCGGGAGCACGGCAGGUCACGCUGCUCACUUGGUGCCAUUUGGUCUGCCCUGAGCCUUCCUGGACAGGAAGUCCUUAAGAUUAAAGAUUAUAUUUUUAUGGUCUCAUGCCUGCCUACUCCAAGCUAUUAACUGAAGAGAAAUGUAACUAGAAGUCAAUUUGUAGAAAGGAUAUUAACGGUCUUUGGUGUGUGUCACAAUGAAAAAUAGGAAGGAAUCAAGGUGGAGUAGUGGAGAGAAGAAACCAGCUUGGUUAUUGUUUGGAGUAUUGGAAAUAAGAGUAUUUCUGUGUGGAAGCGGAAUUGUCAUUGCAUAUGUAAUUAAAACAAAAUUGAUAAAAAACGUAGAUAUUAGGAUAUUAACAGGUAGGCCAUAUAAAGGAUUUCAUCUUACUUACUCCGGCUGCCUUUUUCAAAGCACUCUUUUUCCAAAGGAAUGUGCAGGAGAGAGAGGCUGUUUUCUUUGUUUGUUUUUCAGUUGUACUUGAUGCUGUGACGUAUCCUACAAUUGUCUAAAUGCAACGCGUUUUGAAAAUGUCAUUUCUUCACACCAGCCUGGUGGGUGACCUGUGGUUCUGCAUUUGAUAAACAUGCCCCUUGGGUUUAUAUUUUUGCAUUUACUGUUUGUCAAGAAGGUGGCUGUUUCAUGCCAGGGUCUGAGAAGCCGCGCUGGUUGAGGACUGGGACUAUUUUCCUGUGAACAUGCGAGGAAGGUUUGCUCCGUGUCCUCCUGGAAUGUGCUCUCCAGGGAAACUUUCCGGUGGUGAGAUCACUCCUGCAUGUAUGAAUCUUUGUUCUGAUACUUCCGACCGCAGUUCAUGCACAUAACCAGUGAAACGUGAAACAGGUUCCAUGGUGAGCAAGAAAUUCUGGAGGUUAUUCUGUUGUCCCCUGCAUCACAACUUAGGCCAACAUAGCAGCAGUCUCAAUGUCAUCAUCCUCCAUAGGUAUACUUUAUUGUUUUGUCACCUUUUUUUUUUUGAGAAAGAGAAAAUGAGACAUCACUUACUACUCUUAGUUGCUUCCCCAUGUUUCUUUUGCUUCAGAGCCAAACUCGUUAAUGAACAAGUUACAGAACACGGGGAAAAAACAAAGUACCUGGCUUGGUUUAGGCUCUGACAAGUAUUCCUUAUGGGAAAUCUGUGAAUGCACUGGGUGGAUUCUCACAGGUAUCGGUCUGGGCCAGCGCAUCCUUGCCAGAAGACAGUGAAUCUACACCCAAGAUCUGAGAUUGCUGCCAGUGCACAAGAAAAUAGAAAAAAAGAAGCCCAGUGAUAAAAGACAUGUGGAAUAUUGUUCACCUGAAUGCAGUAAAUUAAAGAAAGUCAACCACAGUGAUCACAGAGUGAAAAAACAACAAACAAAAAGCUACCCAAACUAAUUAAAAUUUUAACACUCUCCCCACCCCCACCCUUAACCCUAGCAGCUUUGAUUGACAUUUCAUAGUUAAGCUAGUCCAUUUGUUUUUAAAGCCAAAGUUCCCACAGCAUAAAAAUAGCACAAUAGCCCCUGCUUGGCAGCUUGUGGACAAGUGCAAGGAGCUUGGAGAAGCGCUGAUGGUUCUAUUGAAGAAGCAGCUGUUUGUGUCUUCACUUCUGACCCGUGGCCGCACUCUGGGCUGGCUGUGCUCAAAGGUCUUUCACUCUCCCCCCUCCAAGCGGCUUGCUAUUCACAAAACAGAAGCCAGGCGUGUGUUGGUUUCAGCUACUUCCAGAAGCAGAUGCGGCAAUUACCUUCAGAGGCAAGCAUGAGAUGAACUUUGAGUGGUGGCCGGCUUUUAGGAUGGUGGUCCAUCCAAGGAGACUUUUAUUGCUGGUAAUCCUUUUAGAUCUUCAGCACCAAUUGAUGGUCUUUACUUCAAGCUAUUGUCAACACAGAUGGCGCUGGGUUUGGAAUGCCAGAGGCAGACAAAUCCUGCCUGUGUUUAUCCAGUUUUAACUUUUGUGCUAAGCGAUUGAACUAUGAAUGCUAGCAACAAAGAAACAAAAAGAAAGAAUAUUUCCAUCAGAUGUUAUCUGUUCAUUGUGAAAACUAAUUAGGACACCUACACAGACUCACAGAUAGGCUAAUGUUAAAUGAUUAUAUAUAUCUAUACAUCCAUAUAUA
ensembl:lncRNA novel transcript